AUGGGAAGAGGUGGUGCUUCUGAGGUGACUGUGCUCCCCAUGGUCGCGGAGUGCAAGGCCCCAAAAGCAGGCGUGUCCGUGACCCUGGCCUGCCUGGUAACGGGAUCCGGCUCAGCCACCUGGCACAGAGGGACAGAGAAGCUGCUCGCAAAGGACGUUGUGAUUGGGAAUUUCAUGCAGAGGGUCACCUACCUCUUCUACCAAACCGUCGUCUGGAAGCCUGGCUCCCACGGCUGCAGCGCCAAUCACACGUCCAAGACCUUCCAGUGGCCAGCAUCUUGGGAAACCCAGGCCCUCUCCGUGACCCACGGGCCACCUCUCUCAGAGAAACUCACCCCGGCCCCCACCCCUGCCAGAGGCCCAGCCCUUCUGGCCAUCUCCGCCCACAAGGACACGCAUUCUCCAGAGGCUGCCCAUGGCCCGGGCACAACCGGGCUUCUCCCCGCAGCCGCCACGGCGCCCAGCAGCCUCGCCGUCCGGGUCCUGGCCACGCCGGGCACUCACGCCUCUGCCGGGGCGGCCUCCUGGCUCCUGUGCGAGGUGGCGGGCUUCUCGCCCGCAGAGCUGCUCCUCACCUGGCAGGAGGGCCCGCGCCAGGUGGACGCUUCUUGGUUUGCCACCGCGGCGCCCACAGCUGAGCCGGGAACCAGCGCGUUCCGCACCUGGAGCGUCCUGCGGGUCCCGGCCGCCCCCGGCCCCCCGCCGGCCACCUACACGUGCGAGGUCAGGCACCCGGCCUCGGGGAGGCUGCUCAACGCCAGCUGGAGCCUGGACACUGCAGGUCCAGCCCCGCCCUUCUGGGGCCCCCUGAGCAUGGACGAGGACUGUGAUGGCUCUGCCGACCUGGACGAUGCCGGCCGCCUGUGGCCCACCUUCGUGGCCCUCUUCCUCCUCAUGCUGCUCUACAGCAGCUUCGUCACCUUCGUCAAGGACCCUGCCUGGACCACAGCCCAGCGGCUCCGGGACGCUGUCCAGUGGUUUCCGAGAGCUGGGGCUGCGUCCAGCACGACGUCCCUUUUCGUCCCCAGUGAGCACCUGCUGGCCCCGCCGCUGCGGGAAUCGGUCUGCCGGAGGCGCGUGGUGGUCUCGUGGGCCCCCGUGCCCUGA